rnacentral:rRNA from 1 species
UACAGAGGUCCCAAGCGUUGUUCGGAUUCACUGGGCGUAAAGGGUGCGUAGGUGGUGGAUUAAGUCGGGUGUGAAAUUUCCGGGCUCAACCCGGAGGGUGCGCUCGAAACUGAUCUGCUAGAGGGUGGGAGGGGAGACUGGAAUUCUCGGUGUAGCAGUGAAAUGCGUAGAUAUCGAGAGGAACACCUGUGGCGAAGGCGAGUCUCUGGACCACUCCUGACACUGAGGCACGAAAGCCGGGGGAGCAAACAGG